rnacentral:rRNA from 1 species
AACGUAGGAGCCAAGCGUUAUCCGAAUUCACUGGGCGUAAAGCGCGUGCAGGCGGCUGGGUAAGUUGGAUGUGAAAUCUCCUGGCUCAACUGGGAGAGGCCGUUCAAUACUACCUGGCUUGAGGGCGACAGAGGGAGGUGGAAUUCCGGGUGUAGUGGUGAAAUGCGUAGAUAUUCGGAGGAACACCAGUGGCGAAGGCGGCUCACUGGCUCGAUACUGACGCCGAGGUGCGAGAGCGUGGGGAGCAAACAGG